rnacentral:rRNA from 1 species
CCCUUAGAUGUCCUGGGCUGCACGCGCGCUACACUGAUGUGUCCAGUAAGCACCUAACCUCUUCCGAAAGGAACGGGUAACCUUUGCAAAGCACAUCGUGAUGGGGAUAGAUUAUUGCAAUUAUUAGUCUUGAACGAGGAAUUCCUAGUAAGCACAAGUCAUCAGCUUGUGUUGAUUACGUCCCUGCCCUUUGUACACACCGCCCGUCGCUCCUACCGGUUGAAUGUUCCGGUGAGCUCUUCGGACUGCGCGGUCUGCAGUUUCUGCGUUCCGUGCGGAAAGUUGCGCAAACCUUAACAUUUAGAGGAAGGAGAAGUCGUAACA